GGAUUAGAUACCCCACUAUGCUUACCCCUAAACAUAAAAAAUUAUAAACAAAAUUAUUCGCCAGAGUACUACUAGCAAUAGCUUAAAACUCAAAGGACUUGGCGGUGCCUUACAUCCCUCUAGAGGAGCCUGUUCUAUAAUCGAUAAACCCCGAUCUACCUCACCAAUCUUUGCUAAAUCAGCCUAUAUACCGCCAUCUUCAGCAAACCCUAAAAAGGAAUUAAAGUAAGCACAAGUAUUAACAUAAAAACGUUAGGUCAAGGUGUAGCUUAUAGAGUGGAAAGAAAUGGGCUACAUUCCCCGACUCGGGGAACUAAAUUUUAUACGAAAACCUAUGUGAAAUCAAAAGUUAAAGGUGGAUUUAGCAGUAAAUUAAGAAUAGAGAGCUUAAUUGAAUAUGGCCAUAAGGCACGCACACACCGCCCG
rnacentral:rRNA from 1 species